GGACGAACGCUGGCGGCGUGCUUAACACAUGCAAGUCGAACGGAAAGGCCCUGCUUUUGUGGGGUGCUCGAGUGGCGAACGGGUGAGUAACACGUGAGUAACCUGCCCUUGACUUUGGGAUAACUUCAGGAAACUGGGGCUAAUACCGGAUAGGAGCUCCUGCUGCAUGGUGGGGGUUGGAAAGUUUCGGCGGUUGGGGAUGGACUCGCGGCUUAUCAGCUUGUUGGUGGGGUAGUGGCUUACCAAGGCUUUGACGGGUAGCCGGCCUGAGAGGGUGACCGGCCACAUUGGGACUGAGAUACGGCCCAGACUCCUACGGGAGGCAGCAGUGGGGAAUAUUGCACAAUGGGCGGAAGCCUGAUGCAGCAACGCCGCGUGCGGGAUGACGGCCUUCGGGUUGUAAACCGCUUUCGCCUGUGACGAAGCGUGAGUGACGGUAAUGGGUAAAGAAGCACCGGCUAACUACGUGCCAGCAGCCGCGGUGAUACGUAGGGUGCGAGCGUUGUCCGGAUUUAUUGGGCGUAAAGGGCUCGUAGGUGGUUGAUCGCGUCGGAAGUGUAAUCUUGGGGCUUAACCCUGAGCGUGCUUUCGAUACGGGUUGACUUGAGGAAGGUAGGGGAGAAUGGAAUUCCUGGUGGAGCGGUGGAAUGCGCAGAUAUCAGGAGGAACACCAGUGGCGAAGGCGGUUCUCUGGGCCUUUCCUGACGCUGAGGGAGCGAAAGCGUGGGGGAGGGAAACAGGCUUAGAUACCCUGGUAGUCCACGCUGUAAACGGUGGGUACUAGGUGUGGGGUCCAUUCCACGGGUUCCGUGCCGUAGCUAACGCUUUAAGUACCCCGCCUGGGGAGUACGGCCGCAAGGCUAAAACUCAAAGGAAUUGACGGGGCCCCGCACAAGCGGCGGAGCAUGCGGAUUAAUUCGAUGCAACGCGUAGAACCUUACCUGGGUUUGACAUGGGUCGGGAGUGCUCAGAGAUGGGUGUGCCUCUUUUGGGGUCGGUUCACAGGUGGUGCAUGGCUGUCGUCAGAUCGUGUCGUGAGAUGUUGGGUUAAGUCCCGCAACGAGCGCAACCCUUGUUCACUGUUGCCAGCACGUUAUGGUGGGGACUCAGUGGAGACCGCCGGGGUCAACUCGGAGGAAGGUGGGGAUGACGUCAAGUCAUCAUGCCCCUUAUGUCCAGGGCUUCACGCAUGCUACAAUGGCUGGUACAGAGAGUGGCGAGCCUAUGAGGGUGAGCGAAUCUCGGAAAGCCGGUCUCAGUUCGGAUUGGGGUCUGCAACUCGACCUCAUGAAGUCGGAGUCGCUAGUAAUCGCAGAUCAGCAACGCUGCGGUGAAUACGUUCCCGGGGCUUGUACACACCGCCCGUCAAGUCAUGAAAGUUGGUAACACCCGAAGCCGGUGGCCUAACCGUUGUGGGGGAGCCGUCGAAGGUG
rnacentral:rRNA from 1 species